AUGAACGCUGGCGGCGUGCCUAAUACAUGCAAGUCGAGCGAACGGACGAGAAGCUAGCUUCUCUGAUGUUAGCGGCGGACGGGUGAGUAACACGUGGAUAACCUACCUAUAAGACUGGGAUAACUUCGGGAAACCGGAGCUAAUACCGGAUAAUAUUUUGAACCGCAUGGUUCAAAAGUGAAAGACGGUCUUGCUGUCACUUAUAGAUGGAUCCGCGCUGCAUUAGCUAGUUGGUAAGGUAACGGCUUACCAAGGCAACGAUGCAUAGCCGACCUGAGAGGGUGAUCGGCCACACUGGAACUGAGACACGGUCCAGACUCCUACGGGAGGCAGCAGUAGGGAAUCUUCCGCAAUGGGCGAAAGCCUGACGGAGCAACGCCGCGUGAGUGAUGAAGGUCUUCGGAUCGUAAAACUCUGUUAUUAGGGAAGAACAUAUGUGUAAGUAACUGUGCACAUCUUGACGGUACCUAAUCAGAAAGCCACGGCUAACUACGUG
rnacentral:rRNA from 1 species